rnacentral:lncRNA from 1 species
GUUCUGGUGUAUAAGACUAAAUUAAAUUCUUGAUAAUGUUUAUUCAAUCAUUUGCACAGCCUUUGUGACAAUCAAAUAACAGAGAUGGGCCUCCUGGUGGAAGAAGCACGCUUUGAAACCCAACAGACUGAUACAAGAAGAUGCGUCCAACCACAGAAAUACAUUGCAAAAGAUUUGAGAUCAAAAAGCGAGAUGGAAAAAUCAAUCAAUACUUUUGUUAAGACAGAAGAUCCCAUCAAGAAGUUUGAGCCUGAACUAGCAGUAAAUAAUGGCAGGAUUUCCUAUAGGUUUCAGUGGAAAACAGAAGGCCUUUUCAUGUGCAGCGCAACUGGGCUAGUGUUUGGAUUGAAAGGAAGUGGAUGUUUAGAGUACAGUGUGGCUCACUGGGAGAUGCGUCACCUCAUCAACACUCACUAUGAGCCUGCUGGACCUCUGUUUGAUAUCAAAACCCCUACAGGAGAAAUCUAUGAGCUUCACCUUCCACACUGUGAGACAAACGGUA